UACGUAGGGGGCAAGCGUUGUCCGGAAUUACUGGGCGUAAAGCGUGCGCAGGCGGCUUCUCAAGUCAGGGGUGAGAGCCCAGAGCUCAACUCUGGAAUUGCCUUUGAGACUGAGUGGCUUGAGUACGAGAGAGGUGAGUGGAAUUCCCAGUGUAGAGGUGAAAUUCGUAGAUAUUGGGAAGAACACCGGUGGCGAAGGCGGCUCACUGGCUCGUAACUGACGCUCAUGCACGACAGCGUGGGGAUCAAACAGG
rnacentral:rRNA from 1 species